UUAAAUAAUAUAUGUCAAUAAACAUUUCUUCCGGAUAGAGCUCCUUACUAAAAGCAUUUCGGUGUUCGUCUGAUCAAAAAGUAAAAUAUCCCGCGAUGUGAAACAUUCCUGGGGCAAUCUAUACGGUCGUUUUUCGUGGAAAAACCGAGCUGGUCGAAAGGCAAACGUACUCGCCGCGAAACGUACUCUCGCUCUCCUCUCGACCGCUCUAUUCCCACCCUGUUUCUAUUUCUCCUCGGUGAGUCUGGUUAUGCAACUCGCCGAUCGAAAAUAGAAGAAGGUGCCGACAUCGUCGACGACGCGACAACCGAGUGCGACCAGUUGAUACGCCUUCUUGGAAUUGCAAGGAGAAUAAGACGAGUCGACUUACCGCGUCCCCGUGUCUCUUCUUCGUCGAAUCAUCUUUCGUCUAUUGUCUUUAUGGUGGAAUAUAAAAAAGAUAUUGAAAAAAAAGGAGAAACAAUACGGAAAACUGAAGGAAGGCCAAUGUAGUUCGAAAGCUGAUAUUUUUGAUUCGAAUGGAAAUUUACAGUGUCUAUAUAAUUUAUAUUAAUAUGACGAGAAAUUACUUUCGACGUUCGAAAUGUUACGUAGACCUGCUGAAUGAUAAAAGGUUUUAUAGUCUACACUUGUAUACAAUACAAAUAUAAAAUUGAACAUUAUGGUUAUUAUUAUUAGAAUUAGAUCGAUAUAGAUUCUUGACAUCUCAGAGGGAAACUUUUCUAAAUGAUCAAACAACGUCAAAAUCGAAUGGCGUGGUGUAAAAAACGGAUAUGCUGACGUGUGACAAAAAAGAAUGAUGAUGACCUUGGAAUGGCUUGCAAGAUGACUUUGUGCCUCUUCCAUUUCUUCCAUCGUCAUCGAACGUGAACUCGCUAUACAAGUCGUAACACAUCGAACACCAAUUUUCAACUAAAUUUACGAAGAUAAUUUUAAGCAGACGUAUUUAAUAUAUAUCGAAUUCCUUUUUGGAAUAUUACGACAACGAUGACGAUAGUAACGACGAUAAUAGCGAAAACAAUGACGCUCGAAUAGGAAAGACAUUAGCAACGCGUCAAGUGCAUUAAUUGCAAAUCAUUCGUCGACCGUCCAUUGAUGUUGCUUUAAAGCGGCGCAUAUUAAAUCAGAAGCUCCGUUAAUUAUAUCUUUUGCCCCGGCGCAUUGUUUUCGCCCGGGAUAACGUUACCUCGUUGCAUUAUUUCUAUAUAAAUUGGCGCAACGAUGCUUGUUCAUUGGACAGCCGCGUGAUUGACAGCUGUUCGAAAUGUUAAUAAGCUUGUACAAUAUGUAACAACAAGAAAAUACACUGGCCUGAUGGUAGAAAAUUAUCAAGCGCUGGAAAAAAUUCGUUGCAUCACGGACUGCGGAAGAUCGUCGUACAAUAGACAGUGAAACGAGUAUAAGAGGUACAAAGAUCGAAUUUAUACAAAAAG